UAGACACAGGGAGAAAGCAAACCCAUUGUUU
rnacentral:piRNA from 1 species